UUUUUGUGCUACUUUGUUACAUUUGUUGUUUAUGUAGUGAUAUUAAGAUGAUAACACAAUAUUGAAUGUUGUACCCCUAUUUUUGACAUUUUUACUCUUUGAGUAUGUUUGUUUUGUUCAUGCAUCGUUGACAAUGUAAUGGAAUUUGAUGCGACUAUCAUACAAGUGAGAGGUUUAGCUAGCUAUAAAACCAGGUUCAAUCCACCAUUUUCUACAUUAGAAAAUGCCUGUACCAAGUCAGGAAUAUGACAGUUGUUAUCCAUUCGUUU
rnacentral:lncRNA from 1 species